GGCGGCAUAGCUUAGUUGGCUAGAGCGUCCGGUUCAUACCCGGAAGGUCGUAGGUUCAAGUCCCACUGCCGCUA
rnacentral:tRNA from 1 species